AAUGGGUAGUUAUAUUACCAUUCAUAUUUUGUGUAUCCAUGAAUCAUUCAAAGAAUUAACAAAAUGAUGACAUAUAUUUUCAAAGAGUUGAGAAUUUGAGGCAUGCAUCAUUGAUGGUUAAUUUCUAAAUUACUCCUGAUCAUAGGAUCAUCAUGGGGAUGAUGAUUGAUCCAGAAAGAUCGAUGCAUGGAUCGCUUUCUUUGGAUAGAUGAGCCUCAAGUCUGCGAUGUAGUAACACUGG
rnacentral:lncRNA from 1 species